GAUGAACGCUAGCGGCAGGCCUAAUACAUGCAAGUCGAACGGGAUUGGGGAGCUUGCUCCCCAUGAGAGUGGCGCACGGGUGCGUAACACGUAUGUAACCUACCCAUAUCAGGGGGAUAGCCUCUCGAAAGAGAGAUUAAGCCCGCAUAACAUCUUUAUGUGGCAUCACAAGGAGAUCAAAUAUUUAUAGGAUAUGGAUGGGCAUGCGGAACAUUAGCUAGUUGGUAAGGUAACGGCUUACCAAGGCGACGAUGUUUAGGGGAUCUGAGAGGAUGAC
rnacentral:rRNA from 1 species